UACAGAGGUGACUAACGUUGUCCGGAAUUAUUGGGCGUAAAGGGCGCGUAGGUGGUCAGGUAAGUCAGGUGUGAAAGCUCUGGGCUUAACCCAGGAAUUGCAUCUGAUACUGCUUGGCUUGAGUACGGUAGAGGAGGGUGGAAUUCCCAGUGUAGCGGUGAAAUGCGUAGAUAUUGGGAGGAACACCGGUGGCGAAGGCGGCCCUCUGGACCGAAACUGACGACUGAAGCGCGGAAAGCUAGGGGAGCAAACGGG
rnacentral:rRNA from 1 species